AUUGAACGCUGGCGGCAGGCCUAACACAUGCAAGUCGAGCGAGCGGCGGACGGGUGAGUAAUGUAUGGGGGAUGCCCGAAAGAGGGGGAUAACUACUGGAAACGGUAGCUAAUACCGCAUACUAUCGGAUAACCCAUAGGGGAUUGGCUAGUAGGUGAGGUAAUGGCGCACCUAGGCGACGAUACCUAGCUGGUUUGAGCGGUUGAUCAGCCAAACUGCGACUAGGAAACGGCCCCGACUCCUCCGGAGGCGUCAGUGGGGAAUAUUGCGCAAUGGGCGAAAGCCUGAUGCAGCCAUGCCGCGUGUAUGAAGAGGGCCUUCGGGUUUUAAAGUACUUUCAGCGGGGAGGCGUUACCCGCAGAAGCAGCACCGGCUAACGCCCAGCCAGCAGCCGCGGUAAUUC
rnacentral:rRNA from 1 species